GAACGCAUUUGCGCUCCUUGGUAUUCCGAGGAGCAUGCCUGUUUGAGUGUCAUUUAACUUCUCAACCACAAUCAAUUUCUUUGGUCGUGGCUUGGAUGAUGGGGGUUUUAUUUUUUGCAGGCUUUGGAAACAAGGUCUGCUCCCCUGAAAUGCAUUAGUGGUAUCUGAGCAGUAACUACUACAGGUGUGAUAAUUUAUCUAUGCCUUUGGUUACCACUGCGUGAACAGAUUACACUGCUUCUGAAAUCAUGUUUUGACAAAUUUGACCUCAAAUCAGGUAGGACUACCCGCUGAACUUAAGCAUAUCAAUAAGCGGAGG
rnacentral:rRNA from 1 species